AUUGAACGCUGGCGGCAGGCUUAACACAUGCAAGUCGAGCGGGGGAAGGUAGCUUGCUACUGGACCUAGCGGCGGACGGGUGAGUAAUGCUCAGGAAUCUGCCUAUUAGUGGGGGACAACAUCUCGAAAGGGAUGCUAAUACCGCAUACGUCCUACGGGAGAAAGUAGGGGAUCUUCGGACCUUGCGCUAAUAGAUGAGCCUAAGUCGGAUUAGCUAGUUGGUGGGGUAAAGGCCUACCAAGGCGACGAUCUGUAGCGGGUCUGAGAGGAUGAUCCGCCACACUGGGACUGAAACACGGCCCAGACUCCUACGGGAGGCAGCAGUGGGGAAUAUUGGACAAUGGGGGGAACCCUGAUCCAGCCAUGCCGCGUGUGUGAAGAAGGCCUUAUGGUUGUAAAGCACUUUAAGCGAGGAGGAGGCUACUUUAGUUAAUACCUAGAGAUAGUGGACGUUACUCGCAGAAUAAGCACCGGCUAACUCUGUGCCAGCCGCCGCCGUAA
rnacentral:rRNA from 1 species